GGAUUGUGAAGAGUGACUGAUUAUGUACUUACAUGUAUCAUCCUCCCACUGGGAAGUCAUAGAAGAGACACAAUAAAAGAUGGAUCUCCAUGAAAACUUACUGAGGACCACCAUUUGGUUCCUUGACCAGACUCCUGCCAAGAACUUGCUUGAGUCCAGGAAGAAGGACUCAAACAGACCAGGUUCCUAGCAUGCUGCCCGGCACAUUAAGUAGACUCAGAUAAUCAAUCGACGUGUGCAGCAUUGAAAAGGAAUGCACUGAAG